GGGAACUUAAAAUAAUGGCCACGCUAGGCUCUCCUCAUUCACCGCCGACUGGAUCUCCACACAGUCCACUCUCCUCAUGUUCAUUCUCGUUGUCCUUUCUCUCCACAGGCGGCCACUAAGACACAAAGACACUGUUACUUGGACCUCGAGUAUUUCUCACCGGCUCUGCUGUUUACAGCUCUCUGGGUAGGUAUCACGUUCACAGUCUGUUCUUCAAUCAUUCACUCUCGUUCUGCUCUCUCUCCACAGGUGGCCGCUAGGACACAAAGACACUGUUACUGAGACUUCGAGUAUUUCUCACCGGCUCUGCUGUUUACAGCUUUCUGGGUAGAUAUCACGUUCACAGUCUGUUCUUCAAUCAUUCACUCUCGUUCUGCUCUCUCUCCACAGGUGGCCGCUAGGACACAAAGACACUGUUACUGAGACUUCGAGUAUUUCUCACCGGCUCUGCUGCUUACAGCUUUCUGGGUAGGUAUGGUUUCCUCCGUAGGUCAGCAGAGGGGCGAAGGUCUCACACCACCUCGCCGGGUCGAGCGCUGCCCUAUCUCCAAUGCCCAUAGGCCGAUCGAAUCCUGGACAGGGGCGCCCCUUUGUAGAGACCGCGGGGGCGGCGGACCCUUUCGCCUCUGACUCUGCGACAAAACAGACACAGCAGGUCCACAAUAAAGGCUACGACGAGAGAGAGAGAGAGAGGGAAACACAGACAGCCACCACGUCCAACAAUGAGCACAGCUCCGUUUCUCAGCACACACUACACACAGGCUUGACAGCACAAUGCUCUCUUCGGGGUGCUCCUUUUCUCCACUCACGUAUCGCCUUUCUUUCACCCCAGGCAGCUCCUGUCUUCUUUCCGCGCGCUUCAAGCGCAGCCCGGAUCAACAGAGCCUGCGGGCUCUUCAAAAGGUACGUAGUUACCUCUUCUGCACUAAGCAGAGGAGCUCUCCCCGUGUCAAUCCCCCUCUCGUGCCCGAACUCCCGAACUGUCAUUUAACUGUGCUUUAAAUACUCCUCUCUGUACUUCAGUCAUCCAAUUGCCCGGCGAUCUCUUCAACUAGGCACAGCUGUGCCCAAUCGGCCGAUUACAGCCUCCGCGAAUCUGCCGGAUGUCCGGUGUUUCCGUUCUUCGGUCUGGGCGGAAACAUCCGGGCGGAACCAAAGUUUCCCGACUUUUGGUUCCGCCCAAAAGAUCGUCACCUUGUGACAUCCUCCCCCGCCAAUCCGUUCUCGUCCCGAGAACGCGUUGUUUAGGGACUGAUAGGGUGUUGAUGGGAGCUUUUCUUUAAAAAAAACGUGGUAGGCCAUUGGGGGACCUUGGUCUCAACCCGAGGUGGACUGCCGACUACGCCAAAUCUGUCACAGGUAGGGGUGGACCCAGAUGUAAAUAAGGUCACGCCCCUUUUCUCCACCUCGAGGAGAUUCCCAAAGCCACCCCAAUGACCAGACACACAAGGUAGGCAUGAGUUAAAAUGUACUUUAUUUAAUUUGCUUAAAAAAGAAUAAAUAGGGAAGGGAAAACGGGGAACUUAAAAUAAUGGCCACGCUAGGCUCUCCUCAUUCACCGCCGACUGGAUCUCCACACAGUCCACUCUCCUCAUGUUCAUUCUCGUUGUCCUUUCUCUCCACAGGCGGCCACUAAGACACAAAGACACUGUUACUUGGACCUCGAGUAUUUCUCACCGGCUCUGCUGUUUACAGCUCUCUGGGUAGGUAUCACGUUCACAGUCUGUUCUUCAAUCAUUCACUCUCGUUCUGCUCUCUCUCCACAGGUGGCCGCUAGGACACAAAGACACUGUUACUGAGACUUCGAGUAUUUCUCACCGGCUCUGCUGUUUACAGCUUUCUGGGUAGAUAUCACGUUCACAGUCUGUUCUUCAAUCAUUCACUCUCGUUCUGCUCUCUCUCCACAGGUGGCCGCUAGGACACAAAGACACUGUUACUGAGACUUCGAGUAUUUCUCACCGGCUCUGCUGCUUACAGCUUUCUGGGUAGGUAUGGUUUCCUCCGUAGGUCAGCAGAGGGGCGAAGGUCUCACACCACCUCGCCGGGUCGAGCGCUGCCCUAUCUCCAAUGCCCAUAGGCCGAUCGAAUCCUGGACAGGGGCGCCCCUUUGUAGAGACCGCGGGGGCGGCGGACCCUUUCGCCUCUGACUCUGCGACAAAACAGACACAGCAGGUCCACAAUAAAGGCUACGACGAGAGAGAGAGAGAGAGGGAAACACAGACAGCCACCACGUCCAACAAUGAGCACAGCUCCGUUUCUCAGCACACACUACACACAGGCUUGACAGCACAAUGCUCUCUUCGGGGUGCUCCUUUUCUCCACUCACGUAUCGCCUUUCUUUCACCCCAGGCAGCUCCUGUCUUCUUUCCGCGCGCUUCAAGCGCAGCCCGGAUCAACAGAGCCUGCGGGCUCUUCAAAAGGUACGUAGUUACCUCUUCUGCACUAAGCAGAGGAGCUCUCCCCGUGUCAAUCCCCCUCUCGUGCCCGAACUCCCGAACUGUCAUUUAACUGUGCUUUAAAUACUCCUCUCUGUACUUCAGUCAUCCAAUUGCCCGGCGAUCUCUUCAACUAGGCACAGCUGUGCCCAAUCGGCCGAUUACAGCCUCCGCGAAUCUGCCGGAUGUCCGGUGUUUCCGUUCUUCGGUCUGGGCGGAAACAUCCGGGCGGAACCAAAGUUUCCCGACUUUUGGUUCCGCCCAAAAGAUCGUCACCUU